rnacentral:rRNA from 1 species
CCUACGGGUGGCUGCAGUGGGGAAUAUUGGACAAUGGGCGAAAGCCUGAUCCAGCCAUGCCGCGUGUGUGAAGAAGGCCUUCGGGUUGUAAAGCACUUUCAGUGGGGAAGAAAGCCUUGGGGCUAAUACCCUCGAGGAAGGACAUCACCCACAGAGGAAGCACCGGCUAACUCCGUGCCAGCAGCCGCGGUAAUACAGAGGGUGCGAGCGUUAAUCGGAAUUACUGGGCGUAAAGCGCGCGUAGGCGGUCUGAUAAGCCGGUUGUGAAAGCCCCGGGCUCAACCUGGGAACGGCAUCCGGAACUGUCAGGCUAGAGUGCAGGAGAGGAAGGUAGAAUUCCCGGUGUAGCGGUGAAAUGCGUAGAGAUCGGGAGGAAUACCAGUGGCGAAGGCGGCCUUCUGGACUGACACUGACGCUGAGGUGCGAAAGCGUGGGUAGCAAACAGGAUUAGAUACCCGAGUAGUC